AAAAUUAUUUUUUAAUUUUUAAAUUAAAUACUAUUUUUAUGCAUUUAUAAAAAAAAUCAUUUGUAAAAAGGAUUAAAAUUGAAAAUCAGAUUUUUAUUAGAAUAUUAUUCUUUAGAUUAAAUUCUGUUUCGAAUGAACAUAACAACCAAUUUAAUCGGGAAAUCCACCAUUCUUUAUGGUAUCCAAUCACCAUUGUGUGUGUCAAUUAUUUUCAAAGGCACAAUGC
rnacentral:lncRNA from 1 species